rnacentral:lncRNA from 1 species
ACAUAUAUUAGCACCUGUUACAUACAGUACAUCAUGUGUUUAGUGGAAUUUCAUGUGCUUAAAGACAGCAAGAUUUCUGUCCUGUAAUUCGAGUACUAUGCUUGGGGGGACAGCAACAUUUCUCUAUAUAUCGUGUACUAACAUUUGUCUGAUCAUGAUAUGUGCAGUUAGAUCCUUCGAGAGCAAUGGGAGGAGGCAAUGAUGGUCAUGGGUACCCACCCGGUGGCCAGGGGGGAUACCCUCCGGCAGGGUACCCGCCGCAGCAGGGAGGUUACCCUCCACAGCAAGGAGGUUACCCUCCACAGCAAGGAUACCCGCCUGCACCUGGAGCUUACCCACCUGCACCUGGGGCAUACCCUCCUGCACCUGGGGCGUACCCUCCUGCACCUGGAGCGGGAGGCCCUGACGGGGAGAAGGGGCUCCUCUCCAACAUCAUGCAUGGUGUUGCCGGUGCUCAUGGUGGUGGUCAUGGCUACCCAUCUGGUGGCCACGGGUACCCCCCGCAGCAGCAUGGAUACCCUCAGCAAGGCUACC